rnacentral:rRNA from 1 species
UACGUAGGGGGGCUAGCGUUGUCCGGAAUCAUUGGGCGUAAAGAGCGCGUAGGCGGAAGUUUUAAGCGGUGCUUUGAAAACCCCCGGCUCAACCGGGGGAGGGUGGUGCCGAACUGGACUUCUUGAGGGCGAUAGAGGAGAGUGGAAUUCCGGGUGUAGCGGUGAAAUGGCGCAGAUAUCAGGAGGAACACCGGGUGGCGAAGGCGGGUCUCUGGGCCGUAACUGACGCUGAGGAGCGAAAGCGUGGGGAGCAAACAGG